rnacentral:lncRNA from 1 species
ACAUCAAGGGCUGACUCAUCAUCAAGUACGAAAACUCCAGAUAUGUCAAAAACAGAAAGGGGCCCGCGUGGGGCUGCAUCAAGGAUACGACCAAUGCCUAUAAAAUCCAUAUCAUCAGUGUAGACAUCAGGAAUAGAGUCAUCCUCAUCAGUCUCAAGUACAAAAACUCUGAACAUGUCGAAAACAGUAUGGGGCCCGUGUGGCGCUGCAUUGAAGAUAUGGCCUAUACCGAUCAUGUCCAUCUCAUCAGUGCCAUAUCCCAAAUCCAUAGGUAGGUCAUAGUCAGGGACCUCUUUGGGGAAACACAUAGAGAACAUACUAGCUCGAUCCGGUGAUGGGGGCGUGACUAUCAUGGCACCAGGUGCCUCAAUAGUCCCGGUGUCCAAAUGAAUCUGACCUAGGGCCUGCUGCAUGUCCUGAAUCUCAACUGUCUCUGAAAUGUGAACAGUCCCCUUUGUGCGAGGUGUGUGCUCUGAACCCCUAAUGAAGUAGUCGGCCAACUAGAAGGUGUAUGGGCGGAGGGGAUAAUCAAAUGGAAUGCCAGACAUGCGAGCCCUCACCCUAUCCCUGCGCAGCUGUGACAAAUAACGUGCAUCAGCCUCUGUGGGGAUGUAACCUAAUCCGUAGGGCGUGUCGUGAUCAACUAUGAAAGUAAACUCGUGGGGCCCCUGCUGGUGGCGACCCAAUCCCAUACCAGGAAAAUAAGACAUGCCUCUCAUCAUGCUGAGCACCAAAGUGUUGUUGUGCUGGUCAAAUGACAUAGGUAGCAUAUCUCUGCUGCCGUCCUCUAAGCUAACAACUUGAACCUCAUCGAACGUAAACCCGGUCAAAUGUAAGUCAUCCUCACUGUGACUGAUAUGUAAUACUGGCUCAGAUGAAAUGAUAAUAUCUCUAUCAGACUGUAUCGUGAUAAUGUGCCCCUCGUGUAUGAACUUCACCUUCUCAUGAAGGGAAGAUUGUAUAGCACCGGCCUCAUGAAUCCACGGGCGGCCAAGAAGCAGGUUAAAGGAUGACUGAAUCCUCAAAACCUGAAAUACUAUGGAGUAACUAACUGGCCCAAUCAUGACAUGUGUACUGAGUGUACCCAUAACUGUCCUCUGAGUCCCAUCAUAAGCUCUAACAAUCUGUGUAGAAGGCCCAAAAUCAUCUGGUGAAAACCCAAGCGUAAUGGUAAUAACCAAUGGACAGACUGAUUACUACCAAAAAGUGCUAUUUUGUAGACCUAAUUAUAAUGGUUUUAAGCACCUUUGAGUAGUAAUCAUAUUCAUUUAACCCAAUUAAUUCAUUAAGGUCCUUAGUAAUUGGUUUUAACCAUUUUGUGGCAAGUUUACAUGUUUAUAUCAGCUUAUGAAUCAAUUCAAGCAUGCCAAAUGAUGGAGGAGCUACUUGGACAAGUUAAAGCAAGCUUUUAGCUACACCAAAGCAAGCCAACAAAAGGAGAAAAGCAAAGAGAAGCAAAAAGAAGCAAAGAGGAAAAUAGAGGACAGCAGCUGCAGUCUUCUUUGGAACUUUUGGAGCACUUCCCGAAGUCCAUUUUCUACAUUCUAUAUACCAUUUCAAAGCUCAGGAAGUCAAGAAUCCAACGCUUCAAACCGUGUACGAUUUGGAGUUGAAAUGAGGAAGAUAUGGCCUUCGGAAGACAACUGCUCUAGGCUUGUGCGAAAAUUUCGCACAACACCUUCCAAAUUCGCACAGCCCAUGCGUGGUGCGAAUUUUCCUCUGUUUUUGCCGACUCCACAUGAGAUCUUUUCUUUUGGAUAUUUUUGUAUAAAUUUCCAUUCUUCUCCUUGUAAUCCACCAAUCAUAAGAUUUCUUAGCUAGGAAGGUUGGAAAAACUUCUCUAUUUAUAUCCCCUUGCAUCCGUUGUAACAAAUAUUGAUAUAUAGAUAUAGAAAUAUAUAAAGUUCUUUUUUUCUCUCUUCUCCGGUUCUUCCCCAUUUCUAUUUUCUUAGUAGCCAAACAUCCUUGGUGGAUGAAAUCCCCAAGGAUGAGAGGCUAAAACCUUUUAAGUUUCUCAAAGUAUGGAUGUUAUGUGAUGGCUUGGAUGCAAUCCCAUGGAAAUUUCUCGCACCCGGAAGGUAAGGUAAUCGUUUUUCAUUAAUGGUUCAUUAAUGCAAAGUUUGGUUUUUAUUUCCUUUUGACAACUUCCAACGGCCAAUACUUGAUAAGCUUUUGGAUUUCUAUCCAUUAGUUAUCUCCUACGAGCUAUUGGAAGGUGAGGUUUUCAAUUCCAAGUUUUGCAUUAAUCCGUUAGAACCAAUUUCAAUGGCCAUUGAAAGGUGAGUUUAUCACUUGGAAUGACUUUGAGUUGCCAAUAUUUGGUAAGCUUUUGGCUUUAGACCAUUAGUUAUCUCUUACGAGCCAUUCAAAGGAAGUCUAAGGUGAAUAACCAUUGAUGAAAUUCACUACCAUCUAUUUUGCCAUUUUAAAGGAUUAAAACUUGAUUUGUUAAAUCCAUACCGGUUCGGGAAGCAAGCAUCACCAUAGUUGCAACCCCAAUGCGAGGAGCCUAUCCUGAGAUUUCCAAUUUGCAUAAGAGCCAGAGCAUAGCUAUCCUAUCUUUGAGAAACUUGUUUUUACACCCUUUCAUUUUAGUCUUUAAUGUUAGCUUAGAUUAGUUUAAAUCUUUCUAAAACAUUUACAUCUUAUUUUAAAGCUAACAUCCAUAAGAAAAUCACCUAUUUUCCUGAUUUGAAUAUCACUUGUGUUUGCGAAAACCCUUCCCAGUGAACGAUCCUAGAACCACUAUGCUAUAGUAGCUUGGCUACUUUAGUAAAUAGUAUUCAAGGUAUAAAUUUUGUUGAUACGCCUUUAAAGCUAAGCUACCAUGAGUCGAAUCACAGACGUUCAGGGCAAAGCCGUUGUCCAAUAGAACAGACGGCACCCGACGACCUAAACAAGCAACAUCAAUGAAUAAGGGUCGAACAUGAUUUUAUCCCUUUGGUGGCAAGUCAUCAUUAGAAAACACUAUACAUGUAGCUCUAUCAGCUAUCAACAUGUGAAUAAGCCUCUCUGGGGUAGUAGCAGUGUCAACCCUAAUCUGGCCAAUGGCUUUAACUAAUGCAUCUCUGUGUGUACUAGAUGAGGCCAAAAGGCUCCAAAUGGAUAUGCGAGCCUGAGUAGUGCGUAGCUGGCGUAAUAUCUCAUCAUCUUCUCUCUGAACCUCCUCUCUAGCAGCUAUACCAGCAAAUGGCCUGUCAACGGGUGGAGGUUGUGCUACCCUCCCACUCCGUGUAACUAUCUGAACAUCUCUAUGAGGGGGCCUAUAUUCCUCUGGGAACAGAAUGAAGGGUGUCAUAGGUGGCACAUGCUGUAAGUAUACUGGUGAUACUAGAGGCAGCCCAUAAAUCCUGUCCGGGGUCAAACUGAAUGGCUGGGGAUCUGCUGUCUAGGUAUAUAUCCAACAAAAUCUGACUCCUCAUAUAGACUGAUCGGUUGAGGAGCCUCUCCAUCCCAACUCAUCAUAAAUAUCUCAUCCCCUGCAAACUCAAUCAAAUGUACCUCUUCCGGAGGUGGAGGUACUGCUCUAGUGUCAUGAGUAUGUAGUGGGUCUGUGGCUACACCCGGGCGCCCCAAAUCAACCAAGCCCUGAUCAAUCAAAUCCUGAAUGGCAUGUCUCAGUGCUGAACAACUGUCUGUAUCAUGGCCUGCUCUCUGAUGGUAGGCACAGUGAAGGUCUGUCCUGAAUCCUGGGGGGUAGGCUGUAGUGGUGGUCUAGGCGGUAGUGGGGCAAUCAAUCACCCCUCAACCAAUCUCUGAAAAGCUCGGCUCAGUGGCAUCCCAAGCUGUGUGAACUGUCUAACUAGCCUCGAUGGAGGUGGUGCUCUAUACUGAUGAUGGAACUGCAUAGGCGGCCUCUGGGGUGCUUGUGUAGCAUAUACCGGCUGUGGUGGUGGAUGUAGAUAAGUAGGCCCUACUGGCCUAAUGGGAGCAACUGGUUUGUACUGACCAUGUUGUAUCAUCUGAUAAGGAGUGCCUAAAAACUGACUCUGAAAAGGAGGACGACGUGAAGACCGGUGUCCUAUCAUGCCAAUAGUACCAAUAUCUGAGGGCUUGGGGCCUGAUCCCGACUUCUUCCCCUUUGAGUCUGAGGGGGAAGAAUCUGCCCAUAAACCUCUAGAUAUACCCUCCUCAAUGCCAUAGAGGGCCUGCACUAAUGAGCCAAAGUCUGUCUGAGGGAAGCCCAUGAGAUGCCUAGCAAAGCGAGGCUGAAGGCUGUGCAUAAUCAUACUGAUCUGAUCGCGCUCUGAAGGUCUAUCAAUAAUUUGUGCUAUCUUCUCCCUCCAACGGGAGAUGAAUGAAGUGACUGUCUCAUCCGGCCCCUGCUUAAGGGCCUCUAACUCCCUCCGGGAUACAUCCACUAUAGUAUUGAAAGAAUACUGUCUAAUAAACUCCUGUCCCAAAUCAGCCCAUGUCCUACGUCUCGAAGGGUCCAAUGAGGCAAACCAACGCUGAGCAGCACCACUCAAUGACAGAGGGAAUAACAUAAUCAUUUGUGUCUCAUCCAGUCUAUGCCCGCGUAUAAUAGUGCUAUAUAACUGCAAGUGAAUACGGGGGCACCCUAUCCUUGUGUAUCUCUCAAUGUCCGGCAUGCGGAACUCAACAGGCAAAGCUGCUACUGGCAUAUCAUCAUAUCCAUCCCAACCCAUAAUCCCAUCAAAAACAUGUAGUGAUCUCAUUCUCUGCUCAAUCCUAUCAAUACGAGCCUGGGUAUCAUCAACAAUUUGUGCUGGUGCCAUAACAGAAUGCGGCGUAGUCUCAGUCUGACCAUGCAACACAAAUGCUCUAGCCUGGGGAGCUGACUGAACCGGUGGUGGUGGUGGUGGUGGUGGAACUAUGUAGUCCUGCUGUAUAGUAGGUCCAAAUGGCUUAGAUGGUGGUGGUGGUGGUGGUGGUGUGGUAAAGUCAUGUAGGGUGCUCCCUGGAAUCGGCAAUGGCUGGGCCUGGUGCCCAUCAAUCCUCUGACCCAGUCCUAAGAUAGCGUCCCUAAGUGACGCCAUGGUAUCGGUAAUCUCAGCCAACUGGUCAACGGUAGCGUACUGAGGGUCCAUAUCUCUAUGAUCUGGUACCUACUCUAAUUGGCUGGGUGAAUCCGAUCCUCUAACCAAUCUAUCUCCAAUCCGGAUCCAAGCUCGGGAACCCAGGUCGAUCUCAAUCAAUAAUCCUACAAAAGGAAAGGGGUACGUCAGUCCUCGUGACUAUCAAUCCUGAAAUCAAACUAGGAACGUAUAACUAAAAUCUUCCGAGAGAAUGAACUGACAUGUGAUGUCAAUAGCUAAACUGAUAUACGGUUCCACAGGCAGGAACGAGAUUCUGACAUGGUGAUACCUCAGGGGUAAUGUGGCUCAAAAGUCAAAAAAAAAAAAAAAGGCAAGUCCUAAAAGACUAGAUGACUGUACCCACAGGGAUAUGCAACCUAAGGUCCUAACUAAAAAUCAAUCAACAAUCAAAGUGACAUGUUGGCCACGCAUGUAUCCAUGAAAUCCAGCUCAGGGUUAUACAGGUCUUCAUUACUCAGAUAUCCAUCUUUUCCAUAGUGCUCCCAAACAUCGAUAUAGCCCUUAUGCUAGACCCUAUUCCAAACCCCUAGCUUGGUCGAAGGCGAACAAUUGGGAAUGACUCCCAAGAAACACAAGCAAUCCAUGAGGAAUAGUUGACCAAGACUAGUGAUUCGAAAGUAAGGGGAUACACACGUGCCCCACAAACACAAGUAGCAAGCAAUCAUACAAGGGAAGGAGCAGUCAUACAGCAAAUAGUCAUGCACAAAGAGAUAGCCUACCACACAUCUACACACAAUCUAAUCAUCUAAGUCUAAUCCCAAGUGUCAUAGCUAGAUACCAAUCAACAAUGAGCAAGCAUGCUAGAAUCCAACAGGUGAACGCACAAGCAACAACACAUCACAGGUGCAAGCCAAAAACCAGCCAACUAUGUGAUCAUCAGUCAUCUAUGCAGCCUAAGAGUCUACUUAUCAAUGAACCAUGUGCUCCGAUAUACCCAACUCAAGUUCAAGCUUGAUCCUCUUAUGAAACCAGAGAUUCUAGGUUCGAUCCCCAGUGGAGUCGCCAAUUUGUGGACCCUCACCCGAUCCACCGGACCGACGCGACUCGCUUUUAAAAUAAAAUAAAGAAAUGAAAAAGUUGGUGUUUUCCAGUUUUAAAAAACCCGCCCCCGAUGAGGAACGGUGUUGCUUGGAGUCACCACUUACUUUUUAUUUUUGUUUUUAAAAUGGGGAAAAUUAAGUAAGAACAAAAACCCCUAAUGACCCCAGUAUGGAAAAAGCGGUCUACGAAAACUAGAUUCUGGAUCCGGGGAUCAGGUUACCCGUUGGGAAGGUACCUCAUGCGAGGUAGCACCCCUCUAGGCCCGAAACUUGGUCUUUACUAAUGAAUUGGGUAUGUGGGAGCAUAUGGGUCAAAGGUCAAAUGAAACCCUAGGCUAAAUAGAUGUCAUGACUCACACAAUCCUAAUUGGUAUUUGGCAUGCAUAUGAAUUCAACCAAACAAAACAAUGGGUGCGUACCUGUGGUCCCUAGCCAAGCGCUGCAUAAAAGGUCAGCCAAACACUGAUAAACACAUAACAAACAUUCAAGAUUAAGCACCAUGCAUGCAUAUGAAUUCAACAACCAAAGCCAACGAUGCGUACAUGUGGUCCCUAGCCAAACGCUACAGUAGAGGGUGAGUUAGUCACGCAACAUGUAUUCAAAAUCAAGCAUCAAAGCUUGUGCCAAAAAGGAAGAUAGCUGGUUGAAAUGAGGUAAGGGACUCCCCAAAUGUCAUACAAAUCAAACUAGACUCAUCUAGACCACACCACCCAUAACUUCAAAAUUGCCCAUACUAACUGAAAUCAAACACUGACUUAAACCUUCAAGAUGGCUCACAAGUGCCCUAUAGCAAAAGGGUUUGAGCCCCCAUGGAUAAGGGCUCGAAAAAUGCCAAAAUCGAGGGCUACCUAAAGUCCUCUAGUAGAACAGGUUGAACUAGUUCUCAACUGGUACAACCUAUUGAGAAGAAUUCCCAAAUUUUUCUAGAAAACUCCUAAAUGAGUGAGGAUUCAAACAAAAGAAACGACACUCAAUCCCGAACCCGGAUGAGUGAGAACCAGACAAAGAAAGGCAGGUGUUCCUCAUAGCUGACAGAGGCUGCCAGCUAUGGUGUUGAACCAGUUGAUAAAAAAUCCCAAAUUCGGUAAUAAAGUUCCUAAGUGAUUAAGGAAGCAAACAAAAGAAACGGUUCUCAAUUCCGACCGCGGAUAAGUGAGAACCAGACAAAGAAAGGCAAGUGUUCCUCAUGGCUGACAGAGGCUCCCAACCAUGGUGCUGAACCGGUUGAACCGGUUCAGCCGGUUGGUAAAAAAUCCCAAAUUCGGUCAGGAAGUUCCUAAGUGAUUAAAGAAGCAAAAAAAAGAAACGGUUCUCAAUUCCGAGCCCGGAUGAGUGAGAACCAGACAAAGAAAGGCAAGUGUUCCUCAUGGCUGACAGAGGCUGCCAGCUAUGGUGCUGAACCGGUUGAACCGGUUCCCAACCGGUUCAGUCGAUUGAUAAAAAAUUCCAAAUUCGGUCAGGAAGUUUCUAAGUUAUUAAGGAAGCAAAAAAAAGAAACAAUUCUCAAUUCCGACCCCGGAUAAGUGAGAACCAGACAAAGAAAGGCAAGUGUUCCUCAUGGCUGACAGAGGCUGCCAGCUAUGGUGCUGAACCGGUUAAACUUGUUCCAAACUGGUUUAUCCGGUUGGUAAAAAUCUCAAAUUCGGUCAGGAAGUUCCUAAGUGAUUAAGGAAGCAAACAAAAGAAAUGGUUCUCAAUUCCGAUCCCAGAUGAGUGAGAACCAGACAAAGAAAGGCAAGUGUUCCUCAUGGCUGACAGAGGCUGCCAGCUAUGGUGCUGAACCGGUUGAACCGGUUCCAAACCGGUUCAACCGGUUGGUAAAAAAUCCCAAAUUCGGUCAGAAAAUUCCUAAGUGAUUAAGGAAGCAAACAACAACAAUCAUGUGUGGCCCUUAUUAUCCACACCCAAGCAAUACAAUCUUCAUAUCAAAGGAAAGAAAAGAUGAUGAUGAAGGAGAAAAAGCAUAUGAAGACGAGGAAGAUAAGUUGUAAGUAAAGAAAAUUCAGCAUGCUUACCUCAGAAACUCCACCAAAUAUGAUCCAUGUAUGCAGAUGAGGACUUCCAAAACUGAGAUGUUGUCACUCUCCUCUUCAAAAAAACCACAGUGCUGAAGCUUUCCCCCACACUCUCAACUCAGAAGAUGCUACUGACCUUUUGUUUUUCUCACCAGCAAAAUUUCCCCUCUCCAAAAUGUCCCCUCUCCUGUCCUUUGCUCUCCUAUCCUCUCACCUUUUAUACUCAUCCCCUCUUAGCAUUUGAGCCUCCUGGAUUCCUUCCCCUUCAGCACUGAAAUCCCCUUCAUCAGCAUGGGAACCACACCCUUCAUUACUUCUCUUAAACUUACAAGGCCAACUCACUCCUUCAGCUUGCUUCACCACCAAGAAUCCAUAUGGAUUCGUGUUGGGCUGCAAGGAACCCAAACCAAGGCCCAAAAUGGACCCACAACAUUGCCCAAAACCGAUCUGGAGCUUACGGGCCUGAGCCAUGUAGGAUUUGGGCCUCAAAAUUACUAGAAUUAGCGUUUUACCUCAACUGACUCAAUGAACCGGCUGAACUGGCCGAACCGGAUUCCAACUGGUCGACUCGAUGGAAAAAUAUUCUGAAAAUUUGAUAGAAUGUUCCUAGUAGAGUAAGGAAUCCAUUAAAAAAAAGGUACGUGAUUCCAAGUUCGGAAGAGGGAAAUAUGAUCAAAACAAUUACCAAAAAUCAGUGUUCUACACCUACUGACCUGAUGAACCAGCCGAACCGGUUGAACCGGCUGCCAACCAGCCGACCGGUUGCAAAAAAUUUUGAAAAUUUUAUAGAAUGUUCCUGGAAGAAUAAGGAAUCCAUAAAAAGAAACGGUUCUUGAUUCCAAGUUUGGAUGAGGGAGAUACAAUCAAAACAAGCCCGAGUGCUCCGAACCUCAACAUGCCCCUAUAAACUCCAACUAAGCUAAAACAUCGGGAUGACCCCACUUCCUUCCUAUAGCGUGAUGUGAACAACUAGGAAAAUGGCCAUGGUGACCCUUCAAAAUGAACCACAUAUGCACCACAAUGGACCACAGACAAACCCACACGAGGCUCGGACACCGACUAAGCCCAAAAGGGGCCCUAGUGGUGCCAUAUGCGAACGAUGGGUGGAUGUGACACCCGAAGGAUAAAUGUCAGUGUCGAGGGACAAAAUUGAGGGUCUACACUAUGUCUUUCUGGUUUAUCACAUAACAACCUUGAGUCUUCAAUAGAAAGUAGGAUACAUAAGCUAGAAAAAAUCUUAUGCCAAAAUGGAUAGAACAAAAAUUGUCAAUUCAAAUUACAUAGUUUAAGCUACUGACAAUUUAUUUUUAUUUUUUUCUAGAUCUAUUUAUUUGAAUGUUCAAAAUUUCCCUAUAUUUAUCAAUAAAUCUACCUAUGUUCAAACACAUCUAUUUUUUUAGAAAAUAAAUAAAUAAAACCCUAAUCUAAAUUUAGAUUUUUCAAAAGAAUAUUUAAACUCUAAAAUUGGGGUGGUACAAAAAUCAAGAUUGAAAUUCAUUAGAAUUGAGUAAUGAUAUAUUGAUGAGGAGAGUUUUAUACAUUGAAAGCUUAAAUAGUUUUAGGUUUUGUUUAAUAAUUGUUUUUUAAAAUAACCUUUUAUUUUUCAAAACAAAAAAAAAAAAAAAAAAAAAAGGAAAACAUGUAUAACAAUAAAAAAAAAUAGAAAAUAAUUUUUUUCUGCAAAACAAAAAAUAUGAGGCCUAUUUGGUAAUUAUUUUCAAAACAAAAAUAGGAAAACGUGUAUAAUAAUUAGAAAAUAUAAAAUAAUUUUUUUGUUCUAAAAAAUAUUAAAAAAAAAAGGUGUUUUUGGAAAACAUCUUUGUAGACCCUCAAUUUUGUCCCUCGACACUGGCAUUUAUCCUUCGGGUGUCACAUCCACCCAUCGUUCGCAUAUGGCACCACUAGGGCCCCUUUUAGGCUUAGUCGGUGUCCGAGCCUCGUGUGGGUUUGUCUAUGGUCCAUUGUGGUGCAUAUGUGGUUCAUUUUGGAAGGUCACCAUGGCCAUUUUCCUAGUCGUUCACAUCACACUAUAGGAAGGAAGUGGGGUCAUCCCGAUGUUUUAGCUUAGUUGGAGUUUAUAGGGGCAUGUUGAUGUUCGGAGCACUCAGGUUUGUUUUGAUCGUAUCUCCCUCAUCCAAACUCGGAAUCAAGAACCGUUUCUUUUUAUGGAUUCCUUAUUCUUCCAGGAAUAUUCUAUAAAAUUUUCAAAAUUUUUUACAACCAGUCGGAUGGUUGGCAGCCGGUUCAGCCAGUUCAUCGAGUCAGCCGGUGUAGAACACUGAUUUUUGGUAAUUGUUUUGAUCAUAUCUCCCUCUUCUGAACUUGGAAUCAUGCACCGUUUUUUUUAAUGCAUUCCUUAAUCUACUAGGAACAUUUUGUCAAAUUUUCAGAAUUUUUUCCAUCGGUUCGACCAGUUGACAUCCGGUUCAGCCGAUUCAUUGAGUCAGCUGAGGUAAAACACUAAUUCUAGUAAUUUUGAGGCCCAAAUCCUACAUGGCUCAGGCCCGUAAGCUCCAGAUCGGUUUUGGGUAAUGUUGUGGGUCCAUUUUGGGCCUUGGUUUGGGUUCCUUGCAGCCCACCACGAAUCCAUAUGGAUUCUUGGUGGUGAAGCAAGCUGAAAAUUGAAGGAGUGAGCUGGCCACGUAAGUUUAAGAGAAGUAAUGGGGGGUGUGGUUCCCAUGCUGAUGAAGGGGAUUUCGGUGCUGAAGGGGAAGGGAUCCAGGAGGCUCAAAUGCUAAGAGGGGUAUGAGUAUAAAAGGUGAGAGCAUAGGAGAUAAAAUGAGAAGAGGGGACAUUUUGGAGAGGGAAAAUUUUGCUGGUGAGAAAAACAAAAGGUCAGUAACAUCUUCUGAGUUGAGAGCGUGGGGGAAAGCUUUAGCACUAUGGUUUUUUUGAAGAGGAGAGUAACAGCAUCUCAGUUUUGGAAGUCAUCAUCGGCAUAAACGGAUCAUAUUUGGUGAAGAUUCUGAGGUAAGCAUACUGAAUUUUCUUUACUUACAAUUUAUCUUCCUCGUCUUCAUAUGCUUUUUCUCCUUCCUCAUCAUCUUUUCUUCCCUUUGAUAUGAAGAUUGUAUUGCUUGGGUGUGGAUAAUAAAGGUCACACAUGAUUGUUGUUGAUUGGUUAUUAAUCAUUUAGGAACUUUCUGACCGAAUUUGGGAUUUUUUACCAACCGGCUAAAUCGGUUGGGAACCGAUUCAACCGGUUCAGCACCAUAGCUGGCAGCCUCUGUCAGCCAUGAGGAAUACCUGCCUUUCUUUGUCUGGUUCUCACUCAUCCGAGCUCAGAAUUGAGAACCGUUUCUUUUGUUUGCUUCCUUAAUCACUUAGAAACUUUCUGACCGAAUUUGGGAUUUUUUAUCAACCGGUUCAGCACCAUAGCUGGCAGCCUCUGUCAGCCAUGAGGAACACUUGCCUUUCUUUGUCUGGUUCUCACUCAUCCGGGCUCCGAAUUGAGAACCGUUUCUUUUGUUUGCUUCCUUAAUCACUUAGAAACUUUUUGACCAAAUUUGGGAUUUUUUAUCAACCAUCUGAACUGGUUGGGAAUCGGUUCAACUGGUUGGGAAUCGGUUCAACUGGUUCAGCACCAUAGCUGGCUGCCUCUGUCAGCCAUGAGGAACACCUGCCUUUCUUUGUCUGGUUCUCACUCAUCCGGGCUCGGGAUUGAGUGUCGUUUCUUUUGUUUGAAUCCUCACUCAUUUAGGAGUUUUUUAGAAAAAUUUGGGAAUUCUUCUCAAUAGGUUGUACCAGUUGAGAACUAGUUCAACCUGUUCUGCUGGAGGACUUUAGGUAGCCCUCGAUUUUGGCAUUUUUCGAGCCCUUAUCCAUGGGGGCUCAAACCCAUUUGCUAUAGGGCACUUGUGAGCCAUCUUGAAGGUUUAAGUCAGUGUUUGAUUUCAGUUAGUAUGGGCAAUUUUGAAGUUAUGGGUGGUGUGGUCUAGAUGAGUCUAGUUCGAUUUGUAUGACAUUUGGGGAGUCCCUUACCUCAUUUCAACCAGCUAUCUUCCUUUUUGGCACAAGCUUUGAUGUUUGAUUUUGAAUACAUGUUGCGUGAUUGACUCACCCUCUGCUGCAGCGCUUAGCUAGGGACCACAGGUAUGCAUCGUUGGCUUUGAUUGUUGAAUUCAUAUGCAUGCAUGGUGUUUAAUCUUGAAUGUUUGUUAUGUGUUUAUCUGUGUUUGGCUGACCUUUUAUGCAACGCUUGGCUAGGGACCACAGGUACGCACCCAUUGUUUUGUUUGGUUGAAUUCAUAUGCAUGCCAAAUACCAAUUAGGAUUGUGUGAUUCAUAACAUCUAUUUAGCCUAGGGUUUCAUUUGACCUUUGACCCAUAUGCUCCCACAUACCCAAUUCAUUAGUAGAGACUGAGUUUCGGGCCUAGAGGGGUGCUACCUCGCAUGAGGUACCUUCCCAACGGGUAACUUGAUCCCCGAACCCAGAAUCUAGUUUUCGUAGACCGUUUUUCCAUACUGUGGUCAUUAGGGGUUUUUGUUCUUACUUAAUUUUCCCCAUUUUAAAAACAAAAAUAAAAAGUAAGUGGCGACUCCAAACAACACUGUUCCUCAUCGGGGGCGGGUUUUUCAAAACUGGAAAACACCAACUUUUUCAUUUUUUUUCUUUUCUUUUAAAAGCGAGUCACGUCGGUCCGGUGGAUCAAGUGAGGGUCCACAAUCUUUUAAUUGUUUUUAGUUGUUUUAAUUUGUUUUCUAAAAGUUGUUUUAAAAAAUAAUGAUAAAAAUAUGGAAAAUGAUUAAAAAUAAAACACUAUAUAUAAAAAUUAUUUUUAAAAUAUAUUUAAAAAUACAAAAAAUAGGUUUAAAAUAUUUUAAGUUUCCAAAAAAACAUUUAUGUUGUGUAAAACUUUAGAGAAUAGUUUAAACAAACAUUUGUUUUAUAAAACAUUAAAGAACAAUUUUUAUGAAUUGUUUUCUAAACUGUUUACAAAAAUAGUUAUCAAAUAGGGUUAUGGUCUUUUAAGAGAAUAUCAUUUAGUUAUUUUCAAUUAUUUUAAAAAAUAAUUAUACAAAUAUAAAUAAUAAUUAAAAUAAAGCACUACAAAUAAAAAAAAUAUUUUUAAAAUAUAUUUUAAAAUAUAAAAAAUAUAUUAAGAACAUUUUAAAUUCUCAAAUAGACUUUUAUUCUAUAAAAUAUUAGAAAAUGAUUUUUAAAAUUAUUUUAAAAAAUACUUUCCAAACAAAGGCUUAAAAUCUCUUCACUUUACAUCAAAAGAAAAAAAAAAUCUUUACUUUAUGAUAAAAUGAGAUAUAUUUACUAUAGGGGAAAUCAUGUAAAGGUUUACUAACAAAAAAAUAUAGAUUUUUUAAGAACUUUUAAAAAGUAAUCUUGGAAGCAUGUACAUAGUAACACAAACAAAAUUCCAAGAUUAUUCUUCAUUUUUUUCUCUCUUCCAUCGUCAACUAUCAUACUGUGGACUCCGCAUUUCACUCGAUGCCCUUCCACUCGAUGGCGCGACUUGCUUUUUAUUUAUUUGGUAAAAAUUUGAUUUUUUUUUUUUUAAAAAAAAAAGGACUUGGAGUCGCCACUUAUUUUUGUUUUAUUUUUAAAGGGAAGAACAAAAUAAGAAAGAAAACCCUAAAAUGUGACGUCUGAAAGAAAAAUAGGUCUAUGAAAAACCGAGUCUGGGUCCAGAGGUCAGGUUACUUAUUGGGAAGGUAUGAUAAAAACCGUGGCAUCCCUCUAAGCCCCUAAAAUGGGUCUCUACUAAUAAGGUGAAGCAAGUGUGACAAUUGAUUGAUUAAUUGUGGAUAUCGAACAAUAAUCAAGGGUGUGAAAGCAAGACCCGCAUGAUAACAAAUAAACAGAUAAACACAAUAGGGUACGAGGCGUACCUUAGUCACAAGUUGUGUGCUAUCAUAAGAGACAAGGUUAAUGCACAAAUACAGAAUAGUCUCAUGCAUGUCAUAGAGUGAGUCAAGUCAAUCAAGCAUAACAAUUAAUCAAUCUAUGAGAAAAUCACAUAUGUUGGGUCCCACCAAAACCCAAUCAAUCUUGCAUGAAUUAGUCUCACAAAUUCCAUUAUUUUGGAAUUAUGAAAAUUGCUUUCAAGCUUAUUAAAAAUAAUGAAAAACAAGAGAAUUAUUAGAAACCAAAGGAAAUCACAAGACGCAUGCCUGAAUAAAAAAAAAUGGCAGCAAGUUUAUUAAAAAUUAGGUUUUGGUGAAUCAGGAUUUUAAUGAAGAAAAAGAGAAAGAAGGGAUUAAGAAAAUAAUAAUAAUAAUGAUAAUAAUAAUAAUAAUGAUGAUGAUGACAAAUAAAUAAAACAAACGAAUAAAAUAAAGGAAAAAUAAUAAAAUACAUAAAUGAAUAAUUAUAUGAAAGAUGAAUAACUAAUUAAAUUAGGUGAGUAAACAAACUAAAUAAAUAAAUUUGAAAGAGUUAAGACCAUCUAAAAGAUAAAUUUUUGAAAAUCAAGUUUUGAAACUAAUUUGAAAAUUGAAAUUUUAAGAACUAAGUUAGAAGAUUGGAAUUUUAGAAAAAAAAAUAAUUUGAAACUGGAGGUCAUGAAAAUUGGAACUUGAAAAUUUAUCUGGCAAUAAAAUUUCUUAUAAAUUAAAUCGCAAAAUUGGAAUUUUGGAAAAUUAUUUGGGAACGGAAAUUUCUACAAGGAUAAGUUUGAAAAUUGGAAUUUUUGGAAAAUUAUUUGAGAAUUAAAGUUUGAAAAAUUAAAUUUGAAAAUUAGAGUUUUGAAAAUUGGAGUUUUGAAAAUUAUUUUAAAGAAAUUGGAGUUCUGAAAAUUAAAUUGUAAGAAUUGGAAUCUUGGGAAUUAAAUUUGAAAGGAAUUAGAAUUUUGAAAAUUAUUCGAGAAUUGAAACUAUGAAAAUUAGAUUAUGAAAAUUGGAAUCUUGGAAAUUAUUUGGAUAUGGGAUUUUUCAAAAAUAAAUAAAUGAAAUAAUAAUAAUUAUAAUAAUAAUGAUAAAUAAAUAAAUGUGAAAAUUGGAAAUUGGAAAUUAAGUUUGAAAUUAGAAAAUUGGAAUUUUAGAAAUUGAGAAUUAAAUUCGGAAAUCGGAAUUUUGAAGAAUUAUUUAAAAGGUGGAAUUUUAAAAAUAAAUAAAUAAAUAAAAUAAUAAUAACGAAAAUAUUAACAAUUAAUUAAUGUGAAAAUUGGAAUUUUAGAAAUUGGAAAUUAAAUUUGGAAAUUGGAAUUUUGAAAAUUUGUUUAAAGAUGGAAUUUUAAAAAAAUAAAAAUAAAUAAAUAACGAAAAUAAUAAUAAUUAAAUAGAUAAAUGAGAAGAUUGGAGUGUUGGAAAUUGGAAAUUAAACUUGGAAAUCGGAAUUUUGAGAAUUUGUUUAAAGAUGGAAUUUGGAAAAUAAAUAAAUAAGUAAAUAAAAUAAUAAUAAUGAUGGAAAUAAUAAAGAUUAAAUAAAUGAAUGUAAAAAUUGGAAUUUUGGAAAUUGGUUUAAAUUAGGAAAUCGGAAAUUUUGAAGAAUUACUUAUAAAAUGAACUUGAGAAUUAGAAAAAAAAAAAUUGACGAGUGAGAUUUCUUAAAGAAUUAAAUUUUGAAAAUGGAAAUUUUUGGAAAAUUAUGUGAGAUUGGAAACCUUGAAGAUUAAAUCUAAAAGUUGGGAUUUUGAAGAAUUAUUUAAAAAUAAAAGUUUUAAAGAUUAAAUUUGAGGAUCGGAAUUUCGAAAAAAUUAUUUGAAAAUAGAAAUUUGAAAAUUAAGUUUAAGAAAAUGGAAUUUUAAAGAAUUGUUUGAGAAUUGAAUUUAAGAAUAUUUGAUUUGAAAGGAAAUAGAGUUUCAAAAAUUUAUUUGAAGGCGGCGUUUUAAAAAUUAAAUUUCGGAAUUGUGGAAUUUUUAGAAAAUUAAAUUUAAAAUUUUGAGUCUUAGAAAAUUAAAUUUAAAAUUAGAACCUUAGAAAAUUAUUUUGAGGAUUGAACUUUGAAGAAUUAAAUUUAGGAAAUUGGGACUUUGGAAAAUUAUUUGAAAAUGGAAGUUUUGAAAAUUAAAUUUUAAAAAAAAAAUGGAAUUUUGAAGAAUUAUUCGAAAAUGGAAGUUUUGAGAAUUAAAUUUGAAAAUAAUUGAAAUUUAGAAAGUUAAAGUCUUUUUUUUAAAAAAAAAAAUGGAGUUUUGAAAAAUUAAAUUAAAAAUUGGAAUUUUGGAAAUUUAUUUGAAAAUGGAAUAUUUAAAAAAUUAAAUUUGGACAUCAAAAUAUGAAGAAUACAAAAAAAAAAAAGAUUAGUAGUGGGUAGGUUUUGUUGAUGGUGAUGAUGGAAAUUAAAGUAUGGAAGACAAGGAAAUAUGACUUUUCAUAUCAUGGCUGGGUUUUACGAAUAAAAGAAAUAGAGAAAAAAAAUUUGAGUAAUGAUGAAAACUGGAAAUGAAGACUUCUAAAGGCAUUCUCAUUAAAUGUUGCCCCACUUUCAGCAUGUACUCAUUUGCUGGGAGAUCAAAAACAUUACCACCUAUUUAAAGGAAACAAUAGGCAUGGAAAAAAAGCUGCAAACAGUCCACAAUUGAUUCUCCUAUUGGGCUCGGCAGUCAAUCACAAAGCUCGUUCACAUAUUCCAAUACACGUUCUUGUGUCUUAUUUUGUCGAAGCUGGCUUUGCAUCCAAACAUAUUCCUUAAAAUGAAGACUUCUAAAGGCAUCCUCAUUAAAUGUUGCCCCACUUUCAGCAUGUACUCAUUUGCUGGGAGAUCAAAAACUUUACCACCUAUUUAAAGGAAACAAUAGGCAUGGAAGAAAAGCUGCAAAGAGUCCACAGUUGAUUCUCCUAUUGGGCUCGACAGUCAAUCACAAAGCCCGUUCACAUAUUCCAAUACAUGUUCUUGUGUAUUAUUUUGUCAAAACUGGCUUUGCAUCCAAACAUAUUCCUUAAAUUUUAACACUUCCAAAGAAGAGAGAAAGCACAACUAGACUGUACACCGCAAGCUGAAGAGUGAAGAAAAGCGCGAAACCCAUGGGAUGCUCCCCCUUGAAAUUCACCUAUGAAGCCUUGUAUCCCAACAACCACCUCGGCAGAUUCUGGAGCUCCGUCUCCUUCACAUCCUCAGGUAGACCCGAGAUGAAGGUCGUAUGUACCUUUUCGGAAGGCGAAGGAGCCGGAGUCGGCAGCCACUAAUUACUACCCAAAAAGUGUUAUUUUGCGCCUUUAAUUCAUUAUGUUUUAAGCACUUUUGUGUAGUAGUUCUCCAUUUUUAUUCCAAUUGACAUGUUAAGGACCUAGCAAUGACUUCUAAUCAUAUUUGUGGCUAUUUUUAGUGUUUUGAUAGUUUUUUGGAUCAUUAAGACAAGCCAAGUAAAGGAGAGAAGUAAAGAGAAAAAACAGAGGAAAGAAGCAGUUUUUGUAGCCGUGCACUAUCACUUUGGGAGGCUUUAUUUUGUUCAUCGUGCAAAAUCACAUUUCAAGAAUCCCAUAUUCGGAACCGGCUUGGAAUUGCUGACAAAUCAAGUACCUAUAGUGGUAUAUUGCCAUUCGUUUAAGGAGCUCAAAAUGGCAAAUUUCGCACUUUGUACUACUGUUCAUGCGAAAAUGCCAAGCAAGUUCGAAUUUCGCACCAGCCCAUGCAAGUGCGAAUUUCGCACCUUGUAUUGUUCAUGCGACUUUGGUGCGAAAUCUCCUCUGUUCUGCCGACUCCACAUGAGAUCUUUUCUUUUGUAUUUUUGAUGUAAAUUCCUUUCUUAUCUUUGUAAUUAGCUAAUCACAGGCUUUGCUUUUAAAAGACUAUAAGAGGGGUGGAAAUCAUCUCUCGAAAAUAUAUUUGUAUUUUUUUACACUUAGUGAAAUUUUCCUCUCGGGGAGAAAUACAUAGUUCUCUUUGCUUUCCUUUCCUCUCUUCUAUUUUUCUUUUUCUUGGAAGCCAAACAACCUCUAAGGAUGUUUUCCUAGAGGAUGAGAGGCUAAACCUUUGGUUUCUUGGAGUGAAGGAAGCUAGGUGAAAAGUUCAGAUGCAAAAGUGGGAAACUCUCGUGCAUUAAAUACAGGUAGUUGGAGUUCAUAAAUGGCUUUUAAAUCUAAAGUUUUGCUUUAAAUCCCUUAGAAUCACUUUGAAUGGCCAAUACAUGAUAACCUUUUAGGUCUCUGUGGAUACUUAUUGCUAAAUCCACAUAAGACCAUUAGUUAUCAUGUACGAGCCAUUGGAAAGUGGCUCAAGGUGAAGACCCAUAGUGUCUAAAGCCAUUAAUGGAACUUGACUACCAUUUCUAUUGACUUUUUAUGAAUUAAAUCUUCAUUGUUAAAUCUAUACCGGUUUGGGAAACAACCAUCCUUUAUGUUGUUAUCCCCAAUGAGAGGAGAAAAAUCCGGAAUUUCCCACUUUGCAUUCUGAACUUGAUCCUAGUAACCUUUAUGUCACGGACUUAGUCGUUCACUAAGCUCGUGCGGCACUUAGGCAAGUCAAGACGCUUGAUCUUGCUAAGUCAGCCUUGAUCCCCAAUGCUUAGCUUGCUCGGCUAAGACACUCGCGACUCGAAAGCUAAAGAGCUUAGUAGGCAACUCCUUAAAGAAUGGAAGCUUUAUUAUCUCAAGAAAGCCUUUACAAGUGCUUGGAUGCUCACUUGCUUGGUGCCUUGGCCAAAUGAGGCCCUCACCUAUUUAUAGGCACCAAUGGAACUCUCUAGAACCUUGGAGGGUUCCUUACAAUUCAUGAAUAUUCUAGAAUGUCCUACACUAUUCUAGAAUAUUCAAGAGACUUCUAGAAUGUCCUACACUAUUCUAGAAUAUUCAAGAGACUUCUAGAAUGUCCUACACUAUUCUAGAAUAUUCAAGAGACUUCUAGAUUUCUCUAGAAAGCUUUGGACCGUUCUCAUGCCUUCUACCAUAGUGUAGAGUUAUGUGGACUUCUCUAGGAAUUUCUAGAACCUUCCACACUCUUCCCACUAGUGGCUAAGUGUGGAUGUCUCCAAGGGUCUCUAGAAGCUUCUCACCUCCUAUAUAAGCCAUGGGGAGGGUCAUUUGAAGCAUCUUGUGAUACUCUCCCCCACCUAAGCCGUCGACGUCCUCGUCGUUGCCUCAUUCUGAAACUUCUCGAUGUGUUUCCAGAAUUUUCUCAAGGCAUCCGCAUGUUCCCAGCUUACCUGCCUCUUAGGUAGUCCUUUCCAUCGGACUAGAUACUCUAUCACAGGAGGGACCCCUUGUCUCCUGGUGACCCGUUCAGCCAGGAUAUUCUUCACCUCCUUCUCCCGUGAGGCUUCAGAUGGAUGCAGACCCGUGCGUUUCCGAUGCUUAGAGUGUUGCUUCCUCUUACCCAUUGAGUUCACCUUUCCCUUAGUGACCUCUUCCAUGUGUGUGCGGGCUACCUCAGCUCGCUCUCCUUUUUCCUCCUUUACUUGCACCCCUGCUAAUAAGGAGGUCUCAGGCGUACUAGGCUUCGGGUUGAAUUGGAGGGCACCUAGUAGCUGCAUUGAGCCCAUAUGUGCUUCGUCCUCCUGCUCCCUCUCCUCGAUCAUGGCACUGAGCGCCUUCCGCUUUGGACAAUCCCGUGCCCAAUGUGGACCGUCACACAGGAAGCAUUUGAUUUUAGGCGUAAACUCGCUCAUUUCCGCCUUAUCCCUUCCUUCUCGGACGUUAGACGUCUUGCUUGAUCCCUUUUUAAGAGCAUUGUGGUCCCUUGGAACCUCGUCUCCCCCACCCAUGGCAUGACUAUCCUCUAAAGACUCAUCCUUGGAGGAGUCUCCCCUCUUAUAAUCCGUUAAAGAUUCUGCUAUUGCCAUAGCAGUGGCUAAGUCUUGAACGCCUCGGUGCCUUAAUUCCUGCUCGGCCCACCCUUGCAGGUUGUCCAUGAAGUUGAAUAGCAACUCCUCCUGAGUCAUGUUAGGAAUCUCAACCAUGAGCGAAGAGAAUUCCUUGACAUAGUCGCGUAUUGAGCAUGUGUGCUUAAGACGCCGCAUGUUUUUCCUAGCCAGGUAAGCCACGUCCUCCAGGUAGAACUGCCUCUUGAUCUCCCUCCUGAAGUCCUCCCACGUCUUUAUGGUGCAAAUGCCUUUCUCCAUAUCGGCAAACCUUCGACGCCACCAUAGAGUAGCUGUGUCAGUAAGGUAGAGGGUCGCAGUUCUCACCUUAGCCGCCUCAUCCGUCAAUGCGAUAGCUUCGAAGUAUCGCUCCAUAUGCCAUAAGAAGUUAUCCAACUCCUUGGCAUCCCGCUUGCCACUAAACCCAUGUGGCUUCGGCACCUCCACCCUAGAUGCCUCCUGUGUGGCCAUGACCCAAGCUGAUACAGCGGUCUUAUAGAUGGCCAACUCUUGUCGAAUCUCUUGGUCUCGGGCCUCCACUCGUGCAGUCAAGGCCUCCAUCCUUGACUCCACACUAGCGAACAUGCUCAUGACCUUGUCUUGGAAGGACAUGAACUCCUCGUGUGACACCGGCUGAACUUGCGAGACCAGUACCCCCUCACGAAGGUCUUGGAUCUACUCCCUUAGAUCCUCUAAUCCCUUCUCCAUGCCUUACUCGAUCAAGUCCACCCCUUCCCGGGUGUCUGCCAUGGCUAGCUCCACCUUGGCUAACCUUGCCUCCAUGUUGGCAACAACAUCACGAGAUGUAUCCUUCUUACCUCUGCCCCUGCCCCGUGCAGUAGGCUCGGUCUCCCUCCCACAGGUUUGCUCGCUAGUCUCCUCCACAUUGGAACCCUACAUGCUUCCUUUGCUAUGCCCACCUCGUAACCGCGCUCUGAUACCACUUGUCACGGACUUAGUCGUUCACUAAGCUCGUGCGGCACUUAGGCAAGUCAAGACGCUUGAUCUUGCUAAGUCAGCCUUGAUCCCCAAUGCUUAGCUUGCUCGGCUAAGACACUCGCGACUCGAAAGCUAAAGAGCUUAGUAGGCAACUCCUUAAAGAAUGGAAGCUUUAUUAUCUCAAGAAAGCCUUUACAAGUGCUUGGAUGCUCACUUGCUUGGUGCCUUGGCCAAAUGAGGCCCUCACCUAUUUAUAGGCACCAAUGGAACUCUCUAGAACCUUGGAGGGUUCCUUACAAUUCAUGAAUAUUCUAGAAUGUCCUACACUAUUCUAGAAUAUUCAAGAGACUUCUAGAUUUCUCUAGAAAGCUUUGGACCCUUCUCAUGCCUUCUACCAUAGUGUAGAGUUGUGUGGACUUCUCUAGGCAUUUCUAGAACCUUCCACACUCUUCCCACUAGUGGCUAAGUGUGGAUGUCUCCAAGGGUCUCUAGAAGCUUCUCACCUCCUAUAUAAGCCAUGGGGAGGGUCAUUUGAAGCAUCUUGUGACACUUAGCUCCGGGAGACUUUCUUUCUUCCAUUUUUGCCUAGUUUUAUUUAGUUUAGUUUCAAACACCACUUUUAAAACAAAUUUUAUUUUCUUUUAAACUUUAAGUUUUUGACAAAGGAAAUCAUCAGAUUCAAUUUCUAAUCUUGAGUCUAUCACUAGUAGAAUGAAAACCCAUCCCAGAGUUCGACCCUAGAGCUACUAUACUAUAGUAGCUUUGCUACACUAGUAUGAGGUCAUAGGAUUUAUAAAUAUUUUUUUUAUUAAAAUGCCCAACUGGGCACGAAUCAGCCACUGCCAGUGGUAGGGGUGGAUUUCGGCAUCGCCCAUUUUCAGAGGGUUUGGAAUACGGGAUAUAGUGGAGACCCUAGUAUCCACUCAAGAAAACUAACCUAUCAAAACAUCUUACCAUGGAUUCCCCUGCUCAGUCUCGACCCAGCCGAAAUGCUUAUCACCCCAAACACACCCAAAAGAAACAUAGAAGUGCAGAGGAGGGCAAGACCAAAACAGAGCAUAAAAUAAGCAAACCAAAGACCAUUACACCUCGCUCCAUCCCAUAAAGAUCAAGGGGUCGGAUACAAGUGGCAUAAAAAGGAAGCAAAAUCAUGAUUUUAAUACAUCAAGUUCAGGGAAGGAACAAAACAUCAUACAUUGGCAAGAGAGAUAAAAAACACCCCAAAAUAAAACCAAAACAGAGCAUGCAUAUAAAUAAUAGAUCCAACAAAGCAAACAAGUGGCCCAGUAGUCAUACCUGGAAUGCUCUCCUCAAGGCAAGAGUUUCUUGGCUCCCUGCUCUGCUCCCUCACCUAGCUGUCUCUAUCUCCUUGUCCUCCACCCAAAAAAAUAUCUCUCCUUCUAAAUCGCCCAGCAAGCUUGCAGAACACGCUCCUCUGUUUCCUACAACUGUGUUUUCUUUUUCUCCUUGCUUCCCGUCCUUUUCAGCCGCCCAAAUAUAGCUUACCCAUCAACUGCUUUCUUUCCUUUUCAGUCCCAUCUAGCCGCCCAAUGCAGCUCAAUCUCAAGGUGGUAAGAAGAAGUCAAGAAGAAGAAAGAAAAGAAAAUGAGACACAAAAGAAAAUGCCCCCCAUGUGAGGGGGUCUACACAUACCUUUUUCUUUUUUUCUUUUUUAAAUUGACAUGACAAUUGAAAAAACUUCUUAUUAUUUUUUAUAAGAAAAUUGACGUGUCACAAUCAACCAUACCACAUGAUUUUUUUUUUUUUUCCAAUCAUGCUUAUCAAUGUUUUUAAACUUGACAUGUGGCCAUCAACAUGCAACAUUAUUUUUGUUUUUUUUUCCUCUUUAUUUUUUAUUUUUUUAUUUUUUAUUUCUAUAAUAUGUCACUAACACAUUCUCAUAAAAUAUUUUUAAUUUCAUUUUUUUCACUCUUUCAUUUUUUUAUUAUUAAUAUAUUUUAGUGUUACAUUUUUCAUUAAAGAGUGAUACAUUUUUUUUUUCCGGAGAAGUGUGGUAUUCUCUUUUCCAAGAGUUAUGUUGAUGGAUGCGUAACAAAAAUUUUAAUUUUUAACAAAAUUAAGAGAAAAUAAUAUAAAUGAUUAAAUAUAUUUUUUUAAUAAAAAAUAUUUUAUUUUUAUUUUAUAUAAAUAAAUUUUUUUAAAAUUUAACAAAGCAAAAUAUUAAAUGUUAAAACCAUAACCAAGUUUUUAUCUUUUUUAAUUAAAAAUAUUAAACAUUUUAACCUAAAAAAAGUUUAAACAAUGGUCAAGUUAAAUUUACAAGCAAAAAAUUAAAACCAUAAUCAUCAAUUCUGAUUUUCACAUGAAAAUUUAAAAAUAUUAUAAAUGUUAUAAAAUUUAUAAAAUAAAAAAUCAUGUGUUUUAGGAAUAUAAAAAAUCUUAUGUCAUAUGUUUUUAUGUAUUUAUUUUUAUAUUAAAUUUGUUCUCAUUAAUAAUUUAUUAUAUAUUAUUAUUUUAUGUUUAAAAUGUUCAUAAAUAAUUAAAAUAAAUAAAUAUGAAAAUAUUAAAUUGUGGAAAAAAAAUUGAAAUAUAAUUUUUUUUAUGAAGCCAACAUAUUAAAAAAAUAAAAAAUGUGAAAGUAUUAUGGAGAAAAAAAGGAAAAAAAAAAGUCAUAUGACAUGAUUGAUUGACACAUGUCAAUUUUUUUUUUAAAUAUUAAUCAUAAUAGGUGAUGAGUGAUGUAAAAGUACAAAAAAAGAAAAAAAAUGGUGACAAUUAGUAGCCGGAAUUUGGAUGAUGAGGGUUAGAGGGUAGUUUUGGCAUGUUAAGGAUUUUUUACUAAAGUGCAUGUUUCGAGGGUUAUUUUUUCUAAAAUGAAUGAAUUCCAAAAGUUAAAAGUUAAAAAUUUAAAAAAUUUAUUUAUUUUUAGAUAGCACAUUAUUAGAGGAUUCUUCCUUUACUAAGGUGGUGUUUAUUUUUUUUACUUAAUUCUAAAUAGAAUCUUAAUAUUUAAUAAUGUUAAAUAUUAGGUUGUUUGUUUUUUUAGUAUUUUAUUUAUAUUAAGUAUUAAAAAGUAAAAAAAAAACUAAUAUGUUAUUUUUUUCUAUUUAGAAAAAAUUACAUAUUUUGACUUUUUUUAUUCAGUAAAAAGUUUAUAAUAAGUUAUGAAAAAAUAGAAAACAAAUAAUAAAAAUUCUAAAAAUAAAUUGUUUUCAACAAAAAACCAAAUAAACAAACACCCUUUAAAUCUAUAACUUUUCUUUUCCUUAGCUUACACUAAUUUCUAAAACUAUAGACCGAUUUUGUAUAAAAUAUUAAACAAUAUUAUAAGAAUUUAGAAUGUGACAUUCUCAUUCUUUAAAUUUCUUUUUCAGAAUUCUUCUAUUUAAUUUCUUUUGCCUAUGUUUGUUUCCAAAAAUUUUGAGAGAAAAUGCAAAACAAAGAAAAUAGGAAGGAAAAGUAGCAGGCGCAAAGUGAAGGAAAAUAAAAAAUAAAUUUAAGGUCAAUAAAUUAAUUUUAUUUGUUACUUCAAAUUCAUUUUAUUUAUUUUAACCCAUUAAUAUAAAAAUUAAAUAAUUUAAAAAUACAUAAAUUUUUAACUAAUUUUAAUUAUAUUUAUUUAUUUUUUUAAUAUUUUCCAUAAAACAACUAAAUAUAAAAAAAAAAUCAUUUUCCUCCAGGAAACAAACCUUAGUUUUACAACAAGACAAAAAAUUUUAAUUUCAGGGUGUGAGAAGGCACAGCCGUAAAAGACAACAUAACAAUCCAAUACUUUAUUGAUUCAGCUCUUAGACAAUAUGAAAAGGUAUAAAAUGCAUGAAGUAGAAUAGAAUUUAAGAAUGUUUUAAUGAGUCAUCUCUUAGACUAUAUGAAAAGGCACAUAUCAUAUGAAAAAUUAAUUCACUUGUGAAUUUUUAAGUAACUUUAUAUUUGCAAUCAUAUAUCAAUGAUAAAGAAAGUAUGAGAAAAGUAGAAUAAAAAAAUUGACUGCCCUAAAAUGAAGAGAAGGUGGUGAUGAAUUUAAUGAUUACAGUAGCCAAUGUAAAGACAAUGAGUACGACAUUAAAAAAAUAACAUAUGGUUUGAUUUGAAUGAUAAGGUUUAAAAUUAUAAUGUAGUAGAUGACGAUAUUACACCAAUGACACCAGAGCAUGCUUAUCGCCAACAUAAAUUAAUACAAGUGCAUGUUUUGUUUUUUUCGCACGGGGUGGGGGGAUGGUGUGGGCGCAGAGACAUCAUAAGAGCUACGGUGGAUGAUAUGCUAACAGCGGUCAAAGGUGAAACUUUUAUUUAUUUUUAUAUGACAUUUUAAAUCGAAGCCUCAUCAUGGUUGAUCACGUCCGAACACGUGGCAAGCAGUUAAAUUAUUCGGAACCACAUCUGGUGGGUCCCACCCCAAGAAAUCUACCCAUUACUUUUGACCACCAUGACGUUCCAAAAUUUCAAAGUACGGUUCCCACAAAAUUCCACACAUCCGAUGGCUCAAAACCAAUCAUGCUGGUUUGGAAUCUUUGCGCAGGCGGUACAGUUAGUAGGCCCCACUCCGGCAACAAAUUGCUACUCACCACGUGGCUAAUUUUUUGGCUUAGUACUCUGCUUUUGGUCAGAGCAGUCAGGCACAAGAGUUCCCAAAUGUUAAAGUUGGAGGAUGCUUAGUGUGAAGUGAAGAGAAUGUAGCAGAAAGAGAGAGAGAGAGAGAAACGACUCAACGAGUCUUUGGGGUGGGAAGUGUUGGUUUUUGCCAUCAAGGGAAUCAAGGAAUCUGUUGCGGGAUUUGGGAAGAAGAAGAAGGUGAAAGUGCUGUUGGGUUUUCCUUGGGUUUCUUCUUUUGCAUGAGGUACGAUUCUUACUAACAACUGAUGUCUCUUUGAUUUUCGCUGCUUGAGUGUAUGUAUAUGCUUUUUUGGGUUUGAAUCUCAGUCUAGAAAUGCUAGAUUUCAUCUGGGUUUUUUUGUCAUUGAUGAUUUCUUGUUUUGGAAGAAAUUGGUUUUUGAUGGUGAAUUUCCCUGGGAAGGUUUGCCUUUUCCCAGGUGAGUGCUAGAUUUUGUGGGUGUUUGCUGGGACAUUUUGCGGAAAUCUGUGUUAAUGGUGAAAGGGGAAGUCUUUUUGAGAUGGGGCUGUCUUAAAAUUUUGAUUUUCAGUGACUGGUUUGUUGAAAUGGGGGAGGUUUUGGCUCUGUUUCCUUUUUCUCACGGAAGGAUGGUCCUUAGAGAGCUGGAAUGAUGUGUCUUUAUGUAUUAUUGAAAUGGAGAUACUUGAAUUGGUCGGUUUGUGUACCCUCAAGCUUUUAUUGGAGGGUUUUGUUGAAAACUCAAGAUAUAUCAGUGGAUGGAAUUGGACCUUACCUCACAAAGAAGGAAAUGACCCAACAAUUUUCAUUUUUCUUUUAUCCAGUGGAACUCCAAAAAGAUACAGAAGAUGUAUGAGCAACUACAAACCUUAAAUUAAUGAAGCAAAUUUUUGUAGAUGAAUUAAAAAUGAAUCCAAAAGCUGGGAGAUGUCAACAGGUGAAUGGGAUUGUGGCCAGUUCCCCGCACCUGGGGUUUAACUCUGGUGGCAUGGAUUUCUUUUGGGAUGAACCCAAGCCCAACCUGAACUUGGUUUUCUUCUGAUGAAUAAAAGUCUCUGUUAAGAGAACUGGGCAAAUUCCAAGUGAGCAGUAUGUGUAUGUACUAGGCAAAGAGAGAAAACAUUAGCUAACCAAAUCAGUUGUCUAGGCAAAGUGCUAAAUUCAUUGAAUUCGCCAAAUAUACGGAAGAAAGAUCCAAAUGCCUCCCAGCUCCCACAGACAACCUAGAAUGCAACAAGCUUAGAAAAAGGUUCUUCGAAUAUCCUAUGAUUGCUAUGCUAAAGAUGAAGAGUGUCAUCACCAUAGUUUACUGGCUUAGCAAAUCGAAGGUUGGAGUAAAAUUGAAAGUUGGAAAAAAUUGAAUCUCCAAUUCCUUAAAGAUUUUUCCAUUAUGUCAAGUUUCACGCAAGACAAUGCCUGCAUUUUAUUUCCCACCUUGAAACUUGUCCAUUAUGAUUCCAUAUGCCCACACCAUGGUUCCUCCAACUUCAUGGUGCCAUUAACUGAAAUUUGUUUCCUCAGAUUUCGAGAAGACAAUAUUUCUUCAAAGGAAUCUCUUCUCUACCUCCAUAAUAAUUUACCUGAGAGCUUUAUUCAUGACCACAUCUCUAAAAUUAGAACUCCCUGUCCCCUUAGGCAAGAAAAUCUGCUCCCGUUUAAGUAAAUGGUAUUUGGAUUUCCUCGCACUUACUACCUUGAAGGAAAGUAUCUAAAGAAACAAACUUCCAUUUUUUGCCCCUUAUCGUAUGAGGUAAAGGGCUGCUGUUAGAACUUAUAAUUUUGGAAAAAAAUCUUCUUCUAUUUUAUUUGCCUGUGUUUAUUUGGAAGUUUCCUAAGUCAUCAAAAAAUUAGGUGGACUGUGUAUUCUUUUUUUCUUUCAUUGAUUGCUAGCUUAGUUUGCAAGAUAUAUGCAGAACAACUGACAGGCGUGAGUGAGGCAGCAUGAUCCAUGUUACUGCACUCUGAUGUUAGUUUUCCUGGACUUAUAUAGCUAAGGGACCAGCUUCUGGGAAACGGCAUUGAUUGAGAAUUGGACAUGAGUAUGCUGGUGGGGACAUGCUCGAGCCAAGGGAAGCUGAUAUACCUGCCCUUUUUCUGUUCUUGAUUGUAUUUCCUCUGGUUACCUACAUUUUACUUGGAAAAUGGAGUGAGGUCACAAAGAAGAAAAAGAGAGUAAGUUUGCUUGCUCAACUGGCUGCUGAAGAAGCUUUUAAAGCAGAAGCAAUGGCUACUGCCAGUGUUAUGCCUCUUGUGUCUUCUUCAAAGAGUGGAAAUCAUGAAUGCGCCAGAUGCUUUGGUCCAGCAACAACCCGCUGCUCCAGAUGCAAGUCUGUUAGAUAUUGGUAUGUCCUAUUCCUUGCCUUUUGGCUACUGUAACCUGUUUUAAUCAUUGUCUAUAUAUAAGAGUGUGUGUGUUUUAAAUAUGUUAUUUUUUGUCAAAUUUCUUAUACAUUGAUAAUGUUCUCUCUCUCUCUCUCUCUCUCUCUCUCAUUUUAAUUUUUAGGAUGAAGUGGGGUGUUGCAGUAAUGCAAGGAAGUGCAAUUUGAAACUCUGAAUAUAAUUCUAAUAUUUUGGACAAAAUUCAUCAAUUCGGAAUAGCAUGUUCAAUUAUAGAAGUCAAUUUCAUGAAGAUAUUAUGUGUACUUAGAUUUGAUUCUGAGUGAAAAUAUCAGUUCAUUCUUGAAAGGGGGUUUAUGUCAGUUGUCCAUUUCUAGUGAACUGUGCCUUUUAUCUGUCCACCACAUGGCAUCAGAUAAAUCUCCCUGUCUAAUGAAAAGGCAAUCCUUGACACAGCUUCGUACUGUGCUUCAAUUGAGUCUUAUGAAAUGUUUUGAGCAUGUACAGAUUUGCUUUUAGAAGAUCUAUUCUCUUUGGAAGCUUGUUUUGGUGAAAGAUUCCAUCAACUGAAUUAUCAAUUAGUGAAACGAGGAAUCUGUGCUAUUAAUUUAUUAGAGAUUUCUUUAGUAAUAACUAGGAAAAUAGUUCUUAAAUUUAAAUUUGGUUCACUCACCGGGGAGGAUCAAAUUACUCAAACCUGAUCCGGUCACAUUAAUAAAUCUCCUUUAAUAAUCACAAAACUCUAUAAGAUGGCUCUAUUUCAACAAGCCCCCCUCCAACUAGUGUGUGCAAAAGUCUGUUACCUACUCUCAGGUUUGAAUUCUUGAGAAUUCAAAAAUCAAUGGACCUUUCUGGUUUGACAAUAUAGACUUCGCCCUUAAGAGGCUGGCAGUUAACUACAUCUGGUCUCAUCAGAAUGACUACAUAUUGGCUUCAAUUAACAGUUCAUAUCUUUGUCAUACAGCUAUCACCUUCUUAAUUUCUCCUUUUUGUUUUUUCUUUCUACUUUGAGAGAGGGAGGCUCUUGCACUACUUUUGAUCCUCCUUUGUCAUUGAGGGAUGAUCUAGCUUACAUGGAGACAUGGUUAUGGGCUCCCUGAAAACAAUUGGAGGCUUCUAAGAAUUCAUCUUAGCUUGUAAUUAACAUAUUAUGACUCAUAUUCUAUUUCUAGAGCUCUUGUCAAAAAAAAAAAUUCUAUUUCUAGAGCUGCCCUCCAUAGGGAUCACUAACAUGGAGGAUAGGGUACGGUGGAAAGAGGCUAAGGAUGGUAUUUUUUCUGUUAAAUCCUUUUAUAGCGCUAUGGAGGGCAGCAGUACAGUCUCGUUUCUGAAAAACAUUAUUUGGAGCCCUUGUGCUCCUUCUAAGGUUGUUUUUUUUUGUUUGGGAAGCUUCAUGGGGUAAAGUUUUAACUUUGGAUCAACUAAAGAAGAGGGGCUGGUCACUGCAUUUCUUGUGCUGCUGAAGAGUCUAUUGAUCACCUUCUAAUUCAUUGCACCAAGGCCAAGGUUUUGUGGGAUUUGUUGUUUACCCUUUUUAGUGUGUCGUGGGUUCUUCCUUCGUCAGUUAAAGAGGUCCUUCUUGGGUGGCAUGGCUCGUUUGUGGGCUAGAAGCGAAGAAAGGUUUGGAGAGCAGCCCCCUUGUGUCAUUUUUGGAUGAUUUAGAAGGAAAGAAAUAGGAUUGCUUUUGAAAUGAGGAGUUUUCGAUUCAAAGGUUGAAAUAUUUUUUUGUUUGUAAUUUUUGGUCUUAGGCUAAGUAGUGUAUAGAUGAAGGGCCUAAUUCUUUAAUCAACUUUUUUGAUUGGUUGGGCUCUAGAUGAGGGUGGGUGAGUUUUUUGUACCCCUCUCUCUUUUGUUUUUUGCCUAUAGGCACUUGUUAUAUACUUCUUGUAUGUUUUGGGUUGGUCGUUGGGUGCCUUGUUCUUAUUAAUAUAUCCUUCUUCUAUGGCUUUGCCUGUCAAAAAAAAAAAAAAAAAGUUUAAAAUUGAAUCAAAGAGAUGGGGAACAACAUUAGAAAUAUCCUUUGAAGUCUUACAAGAGAAGCUCAAAGACUUGUUCCAAUGGCCAAGCCUUAAUUUAUGAUAGUGAUGAUGAUUUAAAUUCAUCUUGGGGCUUGCCAUAGUUGCUUUUUUAAAUUUCUAUUUUGGUUAGUGGUUGACUUUUUAUCAAGUUUCUAUCCAUUUUUAGUCUAAGAAAAUAGAAAAUUUUCUAUUUCAUGUGGGUCUAAAUAAUAUUCCUUUUCCAUAUCUUUUCCUAUUUUUGCAAAGAAAGAUAAGGAAUUAGGAAAAUUGUCUUAUUAAGGGUCAUAAGAGACGACUGCAUAUACCUAUGUAGUCUUUCAAAGUGAAAGAGGAGAAUUUUAAUGAAAGUUUCAGCAUCUAUUAUGCGUUCUUUGAGAGUGGGAUUGGCUUCUUCCCCAGUGUGAUUGCUUAGGUAACCUUAAGUGUGACUGUCAAGGUUUUUUUUAUUUUUAGCCAUUUCUAUUCUUUCCACUUUAUCCUAUAAUCCAAGUCAAUGAUAUAGGGCUGGAAAGUUUAAGAAAGAAUGCAGAAAAUAGCUUUUGAAGACUUACAAGGGGUAAGACUAGUUCCAAUGCCUAAGGCGUAAUUUGAGAUACUAAUGAUGAUUUAAGUUAAUCUGGGGACUUGCCAUAAUUGAUUUUAAGUUUUUAUUUUAGUUUGGUAAGUUUAUAUUUUAGUUAGCAAUUGACUUUUUGUCAGAUUUCUAUUUCUUUUAAUCUUCUUAUUAUAUAUAUAUUAGAAGAGUUUUUGUUUCUUUUAGUUUUUUGACAAUAUUCCUUGCCUAUAUCUUUUCCUGUUCUGACAAGGAAAGAUAAGGAAUUAAAAAGGUUUUCCUAUUAGGUAAGGUCAUAAGAGUCCAUACAUACCUAUGUAGCCUGUCAAAGUGGAAGAGGAGCAUUUUAAUAAAAUUUUCAGCAUCAAUUAUGCUUCCUUUAAGGAUGUGAUUGCCUUCUCCCUUAGUGGGAUUACUUAACAAACCGUAAGUGUGAUUGCCUAAAACACUGCCUAGCAACCUUAGUGUGGUUGCCUAGCAACCUUAGUGUGAUUAUCAAAAACAUUUUUUUUCACUGACAUUUUUUAAUUUUUUCAUCUCAUUCUAUAACCCAAGAAAAUUGUAUAGUGCUAGAAAUUUUAUGAUUUUGUGUCAUAAAGGUAGCAAAGAGUUGUGGAGUUAGAUUGAUGGUAAGAAAAUAGCAAACAAAAGCAAGAAUGUUGAAUGAGGAAAGGUAUACGCAGUGAGAAGGGUGAAAGAGGGGAUAACUUACCUAGUGGAAGUACAAUGUAGUCCUUGUGGCCUCUGUGAAAGUGAGAUGAAAUCUAUUGAUCAUAUCUUUCUUCAUUAUUGUAAGGCUAGGGAGUUAUGACACUUGCUAUUUUCUUUAUUUAGAGUUGCUUGGGUCCUUCCUUUUUCAGUUAGGGAGACCCUCUUAAGUUGGCAUGACAUUCUUUGUGGGAAGAAAGCAUAAGAAAAGUUUGGAGAGCCGUCUGGUUGCAUAUUUUUUGGACUUCGUGGAAAGAAUGAAACCAAAGAGCCUUUGAAAAUGUGGAGCAAUCGACUCAAUCAUUGAAGAGCUCCUUUGUUAAAAGUUUGUUGUUAUGGGUUAGGAUGUACAUGGUAGAAAAAUAUCAAUGCCUUUAAUCGAUUUUAUAGAUUGGAUGAGAUCUAGAUGAUAGAGGCAACACUUUUUUGUGUUUUCCCCUCUUCUGGGCUUUAUCCUUUGUUUUCCCUUUGUAUACAACCUGCCUGCCUUGGUAUAUAGCUCUUUCUAUUAAUAUGUAUCUUACCAUUGCUUAUAAAAAAAAAGCUUGUGAUCAUCAAUGGAAGCUAUCUAAAAGAAAGGUGAAAGGGGAAGGAAAAAAGAUUAAGGGGAAAAGAAAAGAAGGGGAAGACAAAGGCCAGUGGCCCAAUGUCUUCAAAAUAAUCUCCAAAACCCCUCUAACUAGGGUUGGAAUCACAACUUUUGUGGAGGAGAGGCUUGGAUUGCCUAGAUCUAGGGUUUGAUCUAAGUGCAUACUACGAAAAAGCAACACACCAAGUGCUUCUUGCUUUUAGAGGAAUGCACUUCCAUUUUAGGCUUUUAGAAUUAACUUAAGGGUCUGAAAUUGCAUGGCUGUUGCAUUGAGUAGACAAAUAUACCUGCUUGGGUUAUGAGACUGGUAGUUUCAUUGGAUUCUCUUGAGGGCCUAUACAUCAUUGAUUCAUUCUUUGUUCCUAUCUGGCAGUCUUGUUUGUCUACAAGUGUGAUCCUUCUGCAUCUUAUGUUAUCGAUGAUGAAUUUUUGCUUUGAUGGGUUUCCCUGAAAACUGGUAGGAGGUUUUUUUACAUACAUUUUGUUGGUAGACAUUUGAAGACGGCUCAAUUUAUUUUGCACUGGAAAACUUCUGAUGGAUUGUGCAUCUUAUAUUGUUGAGUUGUUCUUUAGGGAAGUUGUAUCUGUAUGGAGUUAGUGACCCUAGCUUGGGCUAUUUUUAGUCUAGUAGUUAUCAUCUCUAAUCUGAUGGAUAAACAGAAGUGGCCAAUCAUUGGUUGGGAUAUUUCUAGGGAUUUCCAGCUGGCAAUAGAUAUCAAAACUGAAGGUACCUGAUCUUGCCACAUGCUGAAUUUGUAAAUAUUUGAUUUAUUAGUAGGUCAAGCUGAAAUUCUCAUUUGGAACCAUCUAUUGCAAUAUCUUACCUUAGGAGUUGCAAUAAAAGAGGUGUAGUGAGAAGUAGCUGUGAGAUAAGCUUGCCAACUAAAGAAUGCAGUGUAUGAGCAAAGAAGAGAGCAAUCGUUGUUGCUAGGGUACUUGAAUAAGGUAUACUCUUGUUGAGAGACAUUUGGGGUUGGAUCUCAUGGCAAGUUUAGUUGGAGAAAGUUCACACUUUAUUGAAUUCUUGAGAAGUUAGCCUCAUUGAAUAUCUCCUAGGUUUUCAACAUUGCUUCAUUUUUCAAUUAAAAAAAAAAAUCUGCUUAUACUAGUGGAACUUAUUUAUCUUCCGCUGAGAUUGCAAAGCCCACAGAGGAUUAUAUUUGGGACAUUUGCCCGCAAAGACAUGCUGAGGAUCACAUUUUGAAUGUACCUAGGCUGAUGGAAGGUCAAGAACAGAUUGUAUGUGGAUUGAUGAGGGAGACUUGUGACAGUGAGCACCUUUUCCAACAGAUAUCAGUGGUUUACUUAACAGGCUUGACUUCUCACAUGGGGCAAUUUGAUUUAGCUUAGGAUUUUUACUUGGUCCACUUUCUAUUCUGGAUGAUUUCCUUUUAGGAACCCUUUCCAUGUAGUUACUACUUUGGAUUUUAUUUACAUUAAGUAAAGAUGUUAGUUUAUUAGUUCAAAUUACUUUAUGAAGGACACUAGGAAGAAAGGCCCUCAACAGGGCAGAGGGAUCCAAAGUUCAGUUGUCCAAUGAAUGUAAGACUUCUGAGUUGGAAUGUGAGGGGCGUGAAUGACAGGUCCAAGAGGAAAGUAAUCAAGUCAGUUAUCAGAAGCCAAAAGGUGGACCUGUUCUGUAUUCAAGAAACAAAGAUGCAAGUUAUGUCUGAAGAGGUGGUGAGGAGUCUAGGGCCGGGGAGAUAUCUUGAUUGGAAGGCUUUAAAUGCUAUGGGGACAGCAGGGGGUGUCUUGAUUUGCUGGGACAAAAGAUCUCUGGAAUUGCUGGGGGUGGAAGAGGGCCAAUUCUCCAUUUCCUGUAGAUUCAGGAAUGUGGGAGAUGGAGUAAUCUGGGUGUUCACAGGGGUUUAUGGUCCUUGUUCCAGAAAGGAUAGGGAGUGUCUAUGGGAGGAGUUCGGGGCAAUUAGAGGACUGUGGGAGGACCCAUGGUGUCUAGGAGGUGACUUUAACUCAACUCUAUACCAAGCUGAAAGGAGUAGAAAUGGGAGGAUCACUUCAGCUAUGAGGAGGUUUGCCCAGGUCAUAGAUGAGUUAGGGCUUAUUGAUAUUCCCUUGCAAGGGGGAUCCUUCACUUGGAGUGGGGGGCUCAAUAACCAAUCGUGGGCUAGGUUGGAUAGAUUCCUGGUGUCCCCCAAUUGGAUAGAUCAGUACAGUAGGGCUACUCAAAGAAGAUUGCCUCGCCCAAUCUCGGAUCAUUUUCCGAUUUUGCUUGAGGGAGGUGGCCUAAGGAGAGGUCCUUACCCCUUCAAAUUUGAAAACAUGUGGCUCAAAGCUGAGGGGUUCAAAGAGCUGAUAGAGGGGUGGUGGCAAGGGAUAGUGGUUAGAGGAAGGCCGAGCUACAGGUUAGCAGCUAAGAUGAGGGGUCUGAAACACAAUUUAAAGAUCUGGAAUAAGGAGGUUUUUGGAAGGUUAGAGAAAAACAAAGCUGAAGCCCUUCAGCAAGUGGAGCGAUGGGACGUAGUGGAAGAAGAGAGGGCUCUAUCAGAGGAAGAGUUAGGCCACAAAAAAACAACUAAGGAGAAUUAUUCAAAAUGGGUGUCGAUGGAAGAAGUGCAUUGGAGACAGCUAUCAAGGGAAAUAUGGCUUAGGGAAGGGGAUAGGAACACGGGAUUCUUUCACCGUAUGGCUAAUGCCCACAGGAGAGUCAAUAAUCUGAUCAAAAUUAAGAUUAAUGGGGUGAGGCUUACAGAAGAUCAAGAUGUGAGGGAUGGAAUAGUAAAUGCUUACCAGCAUCUUCUUUCGGAAAACUCGGAUUGGAAGGCGGAUAUAGGGGGUCUUGUGCUGAAGCAGAUCAGCCUAUCAGAAGCGGAUGCUCUUGAGCUCCCUUUCACUGAGGCUGAGAUCUAUGCUGCAUUAAUGGGGAUGAAUGGGGACAAGGCCCCGGGUCCGGAUGGUUUCACUGUAGCAUUUUGGCAAAAUUGUUGGGAGAUUGUCAAGGAGGAUGUCUUGGAUAUGUUCAAAGAAUUCUAUGAUCAGAAUUCUUUCAUCAAGAGCCUAAAUCAUACAUUUUUGGUCUUGAUUCCGAAGAAAGGGGGGGCAGAGGACUUGGGGGACUACAGGCCAAUCAGUUUGCUUGGGGGUCUUUAUAAAUUAUUGGCUAAGGUGCUGGCCAAUAGGCUCAAAAAAAUCAUAGAUAAGGUGAUUUCUCCUGACCAGAACGCCUUCAUAAAAGGGAGACAGAUUCUUGACGGUUCCCUAAUAGCAAAUGAGGUAAUAGACUCUUGGCAAAAAAGGGGAGAGAAAGGCCUAAUCUGUAAGUUGGACAUUGAGAAGGCGUUUGAUAAUAUCAAUUGGCAAUUUCUAUUAAAGGUUUUGCAUAAGAUGGGCUUCGGAUCAAAAUGGAUAGGAUGGAUGUGGAGCUGUAUUUCUACCAUCAAAUAUUCAAUGCUGGUGAAUGGAGUUCCAGCUGGUUUCUUUUCAAGUUCUAAAGGUCUCAGGCAAGGGGAUCCCCUAUCCCCCUACCUAUUUAUCAUGGGAAUGGAAGUCCUUAGUGCGUUAAUAUCGAGGGCCGUUGAAGGGGGGUUCAUUUAUGGCUGUAGGAUAUGGAAAGGAAGAGGGCAGCCCGUAAACAUAACUCAUCUCCUGUUUGCGGAUGAUACAAUUGUCUUUUGUGAGGCAAAGAAAGAGUCCCUGUUGUACUUGAGCUGGAUCCUAUUAUGGUUCGAGGCCGCCUCAGGUUUAAAAAUUAACUUGGAGAAAAGCAUGGUCAUUCCGGUAGGGGAGGUGGAAGGGGCGCUUGAUAUGGCUGCGGAAAUUGGGUGUAAGGUGGGACAACUGCCCACUGUUUAUUUGGGGCUGCCCCUUGGGGCGCCUAAUAGGGCCUCCUCCGUUUGGGAUGGGGUGGAGGAGAAAAUGAGGAGGAAGCUUGCUCUUUGGAAGCGUCAUUUUUUGUCCAAAGGAGGGAGAAUUACUCUCAUUAAGAGCACGCUGGCCAGCAUUCCUUUGUAUCAAAUGUCACUUUUCCGCAUGCCUAAAUCAGUGGCAAGAAGACUAGAAAAGCUUCAAAGGAAUUUUUUGUGGGGAGGAGCCAAUGGAGGGAAUAAGGCUCAUCUAAUCAAGUGGGAGGUUGUAUGUACGGAUAAAAAGAAGGGAGGGUUGGGGUUAAGAAAGUUAAUUUGGUUAAACAAAGCUCUCCUUGGCAAAUGGAUUUGGAGGUUCGCGCGGGCUAAGGAGGAGCUGUGGAAAAAAGUGCUUGAGGCUAAGUAUGGGAAAGAGGAGUUUGGGUGGAGAACAAAGAAGGCAAAUGGGGUGUUUGGGGUUGGUGUGUGGAAGGAAAUUCUGAAGGAGUCCACUUGGUGUUGGGAUAACAUGGUAUUCAAGGUGGGAAAAGGCAAUAAAGUAAGGUUUUGGAUUGAUCCUUGGUGUGGAAACAACGUGCUGUCCGAAGCUUUCCCGGACCUCUUCUCCAUGGCUGUCCAAAGAAACGCCACUGUGGAGGAUUAUUGGGAUCAGAAUCUGAGUCAAGGAGGGUGGAGCUUAAGACUAUUGAGAGACUUCAAUGAUUGGGAAUUGGGGUUGGUGGACAAUAUGUUAGUUGAGUUGAGGAACUAUAGAGUAUCUAUGGAGGAAGAUUCGGUUUUUUGGAGGGGAGGAGCGGACGGGCUGUUUAAAGUUAAGGAAGCUUAUAGGGUGUUGAUUAAUGCUGAUGAAGCGGCCUUCCCCCAUAGCAAUGUUUGGGUGGCCAAAGUUCCAACAAAAAUUAUUUUCUUUGCUUGGGAAGCUACUUGGGGGAAGGUUCUUACAUUGGAUAGAUUGCAGAGAAGAGGAUGGCAUCUUCCUAAUCGGUGCUUCUUGUGUGGAUGUGAAGAGGAAACUAUCAAUCAUAUUCUUAUUCAUUGUACGGUGGCAAAAGGUUUAUGGGAUAUUAUCCUUGCAUUGUGUGGUGUACAGUGGGUCUUUCCUAAUUCUGUAAAGGAGGUUCUUAGUAGUUGGAAAGGCUCUUUUGUGGGGAGAAAAAGAAAGAAAGUGUGGAAGUCCAUCCCGCUUUUCAUUUUUUGGACAAUUUGGAAGGAGAGGAAUAGGCUCGCCUUUAAAGGGGGUGUGUUAGCCUUUCAGAAAUUAAAGACUUCGUUUGUGUAUAAUUUUUGGGGUUGGGCUAAAGUGUACAUUGAUAUGGAGUCGAAUUCCCUUAUAGGUUUCUUGGAGUGGAUAGCUUCCAAGUAGGGGUUGGGUUCUUUUGUUUUUUUGGUUAAGGGUUUGUAGCCUUGUAUACUCCCUGUAUGCUCUUUGGCUUUUUGCCUUCGUUAAUAUAAUCGCUUACUUAUCAAAAAAAAAAAUUACUUUAUGAUGUGCACAAAGUGCAUGUUAUCAGCUAAAUAUUUAGAUCACCAGCAUGACUUCACUGCAAGGUUUUUCCUUUUCUGUCUCUGUGCCUAAUGAGAGAUGGUGUGACCUAUCCCAGCUCAAACCCCAGGCAGGGUAGAAAUCCAAUUACCAUCCCUAUCAGUACAUGGUGGGUAGGUCGAGUCAGGAUAUGGGUAAAAGAUCUGCACAAAUUGGGUGCCCUACAAGCUGUUUAUUUUGAAAGAAAAUAAAAUCUGUUGGUUUGGGGAAAAAAAUAAAGAAAAACAAGAAAGAAGAAAACUAAAAGGAAUACUAAGUGCCCGUUUAGAUUACACUUUCUAAUUUUUAUUUUUAAAAACAAAAAAUAGUAGUAAGUUGUAUAUAAAAUGUAAGAGAUCUUAUAUAAAAUGUAUGAAUUUAUCUUAUAUUAUUAAAAAUCACUUUUAAAAAUUUUAAAAUUUGAGGUAGUAAAAUUUUUUUAAUACUUCAUUUUUUUAAACAAUUUUUUAAAACCAUUAUUUUUUUAAGAUAAGUCUCUAAGAGUUCUUACAUAUAUUUUUUUUUUUGAUAGACAAUCACAGAAAAAAAAAAGGCAAAAAAAUAAUAAUAAAAAAAUAAAAUAAAUUGAGUAGAAAGACGAAAAAAAGAAAUUGAGUAUAUCCAAAUGACGAAAAAAACCAUAAUCUUCAUGUAAAUCCCAUUAACCCAAUCAAAUUGAGUACAAAGAUAUUAGAUAUUUAAAAAACUCAAAUGGGCUCAAUGAAUGAUUUCCAAAAAGAUUGAAGAUGAAAUAAAAUAGGGAAAAAAUCUCACAAAAGAAAAGCACAAUUCCACUGUGGGAAUUUGGAAAGUACUUGCAAAAAGAUCGAUUAUGAAAUAAACUGAAAACACCUAAAAACCUCGCUCCAAAUUUUUCCAACAAAACUUGUCUUAGAAAGGGGAAAAAUAGAGAAGAAAUUCACAGUCCAAUCAAUCCAAACAAAUAAUAAUAAUAAAAAGAGAUCAAACAAUGUUACACUGGGUUUGAGUGAACAAAAUAAAUAAAGAAAUAUAUAAA